rnacentral:misc_RNA from 1 species
UCCGGUUUGUCACCGGCAGUCUCAUUAGAGUGCUCAACUGAAUGUAGCAACUAAUGACAAGGGUUGCGCUCGUUGCGGGACUUAACCCAACACCUCACGGCACGAGCUGACGACAGCCAUGCAGCACCUGUGCUAGCUCCCCGAAGGGUCCUUCACGUUUCCGAUCCGUACCACUAGCAUGUCAAGCCCAGGUAAGGUUCUUCGCGUCGCGUCGAAUUAAACCACAUGCUCCGCUGCUUGUGCGGACCCCCGUCAAUUCCUUUGAGUUUUAGCCUUGCGGCCGUACUCCCCAGGCGGGAUGCUUAAUGCGUUAGCUUCGGCACGGACGGAGUCGACACCGCCCACACCUAGCAUCCAUUGUUUACGGCGUGGACUAC